rnacentral:lncRNA from 1 species
GGACCUGGCUGGCAAUGCACCUAAGUGUGGCUGUCUAUUGAGUGAGGAGGAGCUGAGAGCCUAAUUCACUUAUGUUUGAAGUAAUUAUUAAGGUCACAGGAGCUAAGGGUCAUCAUCGAGUGAAAUAUGUCAGAAAAGUUAAGUGAGGGAGGGUCUGGCUGCUGGGAAAACAAGUGGAGAGAACCAGUGGCCAUAGAAGGGAAAGAAGUUCUUGACUGAAGAUGACCACUGCGUAUUGGCCACCCUGAUUUGGCAGAUGGCCCAUGAUGUUGCAGAGAGAACAGCUGCACACACUAUACAUCUUGGCUGCACUGGAGCAGGCUUCUCGGGAAGGAGAAUUGGAUGCCAGAGCCCUUGAAUUGCACGAUAGCUGAUCUCGGAAGAAGAGGCGGUUGCCUCCACUCAGCCCCGCUCCAUCAAGCUCCUCACCUCUGUGCACAAGCCACCAGCCUUCCCUGGCAGGCUCUCACUUCUUCAGCCGGAUUGGGAUGCAGGCGCUGUUCUGAGCCUGCUCUUUGGGCAUGUUUUAUUUCCCACCGCUACGGCCAACCCAUCACUGAAUUUACUCUGAAAUGA